GCGACAGCGGCAAGACGUGUUUAAUGUGAUUCGUUCUUUCCGUUAUUUUUGUUUCUCAACUUUAGCUAAAUUAAGUUGUAUAAAAUCUUCAAGCAAUUAAUGACACAUAGCUCCAUGCCACCAUUCAACAAAACCCGCCAGCACCAUUCCACCGAAGUUUCUGACUGGUAUAAAUCCCUUUUGAUGUCUCUCACUGAGUCUAAUCCUCUGGCUAGUUAAACCCGUCCCUACAACUUGUUGAGCCGUUGAUCUUCUGGGGAAAACUGCCAGCCAGCAAUCAAAUUACUAUCACGUUACAGCUUUACUUACAGCGGAUCUAGCCAUAGAUGGCGACUCAAGAAUACUCGUGAAUGACUUCACCUGCUCUCUUACCAAUUCCAGUCCUCAUGCCUGGUGGAAGGUGGACUUGGGAACCGAACAUCUUCUCGGUCGCGUCACCAUCGUCAAGAGAGGUGACGGCAUUAAGGGUCGUUUGACUGGUGCUCUUGUGAGGGUAGGCAUAGACAGCGACAUUUUCAACAAUGCCGUGUGUGGGUCAGCAGUGACAUGGGACCAAGCAUCGAUCCCUGGGGUACACAUACGGGUUGUUUGCAACCCGCCUGUAACUGCCCGGUUCGUCAGUGUGGACAACAAGGCUAAUGCGACAGCAUCAGAUGGUGUCAAAAUAAGUCUGUGUGAAGUAAUGGUUGAAGAGGUCCGCCCGGAAGAGGAAUGCCCUAAAACAACAAUUAAGUCAGUUACGGCGCCUUCAUUCACCAAGACGUGCAUGUCCACCUUGCUCUACAACGGGAAAUGUGUAAACGACUCAGGCCCUCUAUUGGCUGAAGUUACCUCGAGGUCACCAAUGCAAUGUUUCCUGAGUUGCAAGAAGAAUAACGAGUGCUUGUAUUUUGACUACGUCAUGACUUCGGGUCAGUGCAGACUCUACGAUGUGAAGGCUGGAGACUUGGAAGCAAUUGAUGAGCCAGGCUGCUUGAUGUAUAUGAUGGGCCGUGCCUAGACAGUUUUGCUAAAAAAAAUAUUCAGUAUUCAGCCGAUCUGAAUAACUUUUUUAAAUAAUUAUUGGAAAGAGAAUGUAGGGUAGUGAUAAUAUUUGAAAAUCAGUUUCUUGUAUAGACCAAUCAGUGAGCACCGGGCGCACAAGUGUUGAGCACCACGCGCCACUGCUGCGUGUGCAGGUGCCUAGUUUUGUGCACAAAGACAUUAGAGGACCAGAUUUAGACAUUUUGUUUUUGUUUCAUUGUUUGAUCGUCACACAAAUUGCAAGAGUUUGUUUUAUGGUUGAUUCUUGUUUAUUUGGUGGUUAUUGAUGACAUAUCCGAAAUCGGACAAGAGUUUCAAGCCAGAAGUGACCUAGUUUGCAUAUUUAAAUUAGGUGGUAAUUAGCAAUCUUUAAGGUCAAUUUCAUGAGGAAAUCAUGUUCCCUUUCACGCUUUAUGGAAAUAAGAUGUUUUCCUCAACGACUUACACAAUUUUCUUAGCAGGACAUCGUGAUAUACCAGUGUAGAAACAAAAUAGAAACCGAAUCAUCUUGAAAAGGGUGCUUGUCUUUGGGUAUAAUUAAUUAAAAAAAUUAUCGUGAAUUUAUUGUAGGGAUCUCGACAUUAUCUCGCCAAUCACGCUAACCCGGAAAAGGUUAACGUUGGAUUUUAACACGGAUUCCAGGUCAUAGCGUACCCGGAAAUGUGACAGACCCAAAUCACACGACCCGGAAGAUAAAAAUGUAUCAUCGUACAACAUUGAAACAAAACGAGUCACGUUUCCCUAAAAUUACAUUAAUUUUCUGCUUGACCACUUUUUUCAUCAUCUUGUAUGACCCAUAAUCUGAGUCACAAUAACCCAGGUAAGCAGGGGUCAAACUAGACUUGAUUCAAGUCCCAUUCUCGUGUGAGAGGUCCCUUAGCAUAAUAUCACCCCCAACUUAUUAUAAAACAACACGUUGCAUACACCGUCCAGUGCCCGCUCGUCGCCGUCAAAAUGUGGUCCCGAGCAUGCGGAACAGGAGAAUAGGGAAUGCAGAGCAUCACAAAAAACAGUAGUUACCUGGGCACGGGAUUGGGACUUGAGUCAAGUCUAGGGUCAAACUUACUUAGAUUAAAUUAUGAAAGAAGAAAGCAAAUGAGAUUUAGUUUCACUCCUGGUCACACUUCUCGGGGUCAGGCUCCCAAAUCCGGUCCAGAACCUUUCGUAUUGUCUUCUUAUUCCCACCAGAUAAUCUUGAAAUCAUUUCCCACCCGAUCAGGGUCAAACGAAAAAUCAGGAGGUCAACAGCUUGCGGGAAAUAAAACUGUUAUUUUAUAGUUUGAUUCAACUAAGAAAGUUGCAGCCUUAAAACAUUGAGGGCGCACUUGGUAUCCCUACAUAAGAGCCAUUGGGAGGAGAGUUGCGACAAUUUGCAACUAGAAGCCAUUUCGUGUCUCAGCUGCCCAUCGGGUUGUGUUGCAUUUGGAAACAAAUGGCGGUCAGCAACCACGUGGCCAAAUAAAACUGGUCACUAUUUCGCAAUUCUCUCGAUCAGAGCUCUGCCCUACAUCAAAACUGUGUAUUGAGAGAGAUUGCACCAUCAGGGAUGACCAGUUUUCUUGGGUCACGUGGUUGCUGGGCGUCAUUAUUUUGAUCCAAACGCACGGAACAACCCAAUGGGCAGACUUAUCUGUUAUCAUGAUUGUAUUCGUCAA